GAUGAACGCUAGCGGCAGGCUUAAUACAUGCAAGUCGUACGGGAUCCGAGGUAGCAAUACUUUGGUGAGAGUGGCGCACGGGUGCGUAACACGUAUGCAACCUACCUAUAACCGGGACACAACCUCGAGAAAUUGAGGCUAAUAUCCCAUAACACUGCGAGAUGGCAUCAUUUUGCAGUUAAAACUCCGGUGGUUAUAGAUGGGCAUGCGCGACAUUAGCUAGUUGGUGAGGUAACGGCCCACCAAGGCUACGAUGUCUAGGGGUUCUGAGAGGAUUAUCCCCCACACUGGUACUGAGACACGGACCAGACUCCUACGGGAGGCAGCAGUAAGGAAUAUUGGUCAAUGGGCGCAAGCCUGAACCAGCCAUGCCGCGUGAAGGAUGACGGCCCUAUGGGUUGUAAACUUCUUUUAGCAGAGACGAAACGCCUUCAUUUAUGAGGGUCUGACGGUAUCUGCAGAAUAAGCACCGGCUAACUCCGUGCC
rnacentral:rRNA from 1 species